AAAAAAAAUUAAUUUUAAGAAAUUGUGCCCCCCUUCAAGUGGCGCCCAGGGCAUGUGCCCUGCCUGCCCUACCCUAGAUAUACCCCUGGGAGAUAGAAAAAUACCCAAACCACCAACCAACCACUAGCACAGUUGUACGUCAGACAGAUAGGCAGCAAGUACAGUCUGUCUCUUUCCAUUCCAAUUCUCUGAAAAAACUCCACCCAUUCACAAGAAGCAACUCCAAAAGCUCACGGCACAUAGGCAACUAAGCAGGGGGAAAGUAUCUUUUUUUCCAGAGACUUGCAUCAGAGGAUAAAAUGGGGCACAAGCUGGGGCAAGUCCACUCUGCCUUUCCCUCUUCUUUCUUCUGUUUUUCCUCAGCAUCCAGCCCUCAGAGGGAUACCUGCAUUUGUUCACUGGGCUCCCCAGAGCUCACCUGUCUAUUGACAGACCUAUCUUCCAUUAAUUGGUGUAAUUCUUAACCAAAGCCAGUGGCACUCCCGAGACCUCAAAGGGAAUCCCACAACAUAAUGAUGCAUGGUGCAAAGCAGACUGUCCUGAAUCUAGUGCCACUGGCUCAGGUAUCACCUCCUCCAGCGGUGGAGUUCCAUUUCGACCACAGCCAAUGAGCGUGAGCAGAUUUGCAUGGUGGACCAUUCUUCAGUUCCUGGGCGAUGUAAGAAAGAAGAAGGAAGAUUCCAGACAGACCUACACUCUUGCCUCACCUUUCACCACCAUGCCCUGGUCUCUGUUUCUCCUCACGUUUCUCAGUUACGCCUCAGGUGUCCAUUCCCAGGCAAGUGUGACUCAGCCUGCCUCCCAGUCUGCGUCCCUGGGCCAAACAGCAAAACUCACCUGCACGAAAAGCAGUGGUGGUCGCUGAGGCAGCUUUUACUGGUAUCAACAGAGAUCUGGACAGGCCCCUCGCUUUGUGCACUGUAGUGGUUGCAGCAGAGGAGAAGGGAUCCCAGAUCGGUUCACUGGUUCUGCCUCUGGAGACAACGGCUAUUUAACCAU